UUUUUCGUCAACAGACAGUCACGUAUAACGAGUUAACGACGCCACAUGAUUGUUCCAGCCCCAGUCCCGACUGUCCGGUUUUCUAACCCGCCAACCAUGUAUCCAAUUGCCUCCAAAAACGUCGCCGUCAUCGGGGCCGGCGCUGCUGGGCUCAUCGCUGCACAUGAGCUCCGACAGGAGGGUCACAAAGUGGUGGUUUUUGAGAGAGAAAACCAAGUGGGAGGCAUAUGGGUCUAUAAUCCAGCGACCGAAUCCGACUCUCUCGGAGUUGACCCGACCAGAAACCUGAUCCACUCGAGCCUCUACGCUUCUCUCCGGACCAACUUGCCUAGAGAAGUAAUGGGUUUUCGGUCAUACCCGUUUUUGUACAAAAGGGGAAGUCACCGGGACCCGAGAAGGUUCCCGGGGCAUAGAGAGGUAUGGGAGUAUUUGAAGGACUUUGCAGUUGAUUUUAAAUUGUGUGGGCUGGUGAGGUUCGGAACUGAGGUAUGGCAUGUGGGAUUGAUGGAAAAUGGUAAAUGGAAAGUGACGUCAAGAAAAAGGGAGGGAAAUGCAUAUAAUGAUAGGAAUCAAGAAAAGUUGGAUGAGGUUUAUGAUGCUGUGGUAGUUUGUAAUGGGCAUUAUACAGAACCCCGACCUGCAGAAAUCCCAGGGGUUGAAGGAUGGCCGGGGAAGCAAAUCCAUAGCCACAACUAUCGUGAUCCUGAACCUUUCAGAGAUCAAGUGGUGGUGUUGAUAGGGAGUGCAGCUAGUGCUGAUGAUAUCUCCAGAGAGAUUGCUAAAGUUUCUAAAGAGGUUCAUAUAGCAUCGAGAUCAGUCCAAAAUGGCAUCAUCGGAAAGUUGGCUGGCUAUGAUAAUAUAUACCAUCAUUCUAUGAUAGAAAGCACACAGGGAGAUGGUUCAGUUGCUUUCCAAGAGGGUAGUGUAGUCUAUGCUGAUAUCAUCCUGCACUGCACCGGGUACAAAUAUCACUUUCCGUUCCUUGAAACUGAUGGCAUUGUAACUGUGGAUGACAACCGUGUGGGGCCACUUUACAAGCAUAUUUUUCCUCCAGCUUUAGCGCCAUGGCUUUCAUUCGUUGGGUUGCCGUGGAAGGUCUUUUGCAGAUAUUCCAUGUUCUGAGUUGAUGAACUGUUCUGAGCAAGUGGAUAGCUGGUACUUUGUCUGGUCGGCUUUCACUUCCUUCUCCCAAGGAGAUGAUGGCUGAUAUUCAAGCUUUCUACUCAUCAAUGGAAGCAUCUGGCACUCCAAAGCGGUAUACUCAUAACAUAGCUGGUUAUCAGUUCGAAUAUGACGAUUGGUUGGCUGCUCAGUGUGGUUGUCUGCCGACUGAAGAAUGGAGAAAGCAGAUGUAUGUUGAAACUUCCAUGAGAAAGAGGUCUCAGCCUGAGACAUACAGAGACCAGUGGGAAGAUGAACACUUGGUCAGACAGGCAGAAGCUGAUUUUUCACAGUACUUUUCAAAAGUUCCUAGUAGCUAGAUAUCCAAAUCACCCUUCUAAUUGGUUGAUUUGUUGAUGGGGUUUGUUUAUUGUUUAAUCCUUGAUUUUCUCAAAAUCAUAGAGACUGGUGAAUAGUGGCAACACAGUCUCACGAGUCAGUAAUUCUCAUGAACGUAACACUUGCAACCCAAUAAGUUGAAUAAGAGGACUCGAUGUUACUUUUUUUUUUCCAGCUAAUGAGAAUAAUACCUUGAACUUU